rnacentral:rRNA from 1 species
GCAGGUACAGAGGGAUGCUACCGGGCGACCGGAUGCGAUCUCGAAAGCCUGUCCCAGUUCGGACUGGAGUCUGCAACCCGACUCCACGAAGUUGGAUUCGCUAGUAAUCGCGCAUCAGCCAUGGCGCGGUGAAUACGUUCCCGGGCCUUGUACACACCGCCCGUCAAGCCAUGGGAGCCGGGGGCGCCUGAAGUCCGGGACCGCGAGGACCGGCCUAGGGCCGAAACUGGUAACUGGGGCUAAGUCGUAACAAGGUAGC